AGGAUGAACGCUGGCGGCGUGCUUAACACAUGCAAGUCGAACGAUGAAGCAGAGCUUGCUCUGUGGAUUAGUGGCGAACGGGUGAGUAACACGUGAGUAACCUGCCCUUGACUCUGGAAUAAGCGUUGGAAACGACGUCUAAUACCGGAUACGAGCUUCCGCCGCAUGGUGAGGAGCUGGAAAGAAUUUUCGGCAAGGAUGGACUCGCGGCCUAUCAGGUAGUUGGUGAGGUAAUGGCUCACCAAGCCUACGAC
rnacentral:rRNA from 1 species